CAGGGAACUCCAGAAUUGUCUGUGGCCACCUCCUGAUGGGCACACCCACCUUUCAAAUGUGCACAUCCACCUCCCACCAUGCACACCCAUCUCCUGAUUUGCACACCCACCUCCUGAUGUGCACACCCAUCGCCUGAUUUCCACAUCCACAUCCUGAUUUGCACACACACCUCCCACCAUGCACAUCCCUCUCCCCCCAAGGCCUGGCUGUCUCAGAGCUGCCCAGAUUCCCCCCGUUCUGCAUUCCCAGGGAUGGAGGUUCAGAUUCAGCAUUCCCAGGUUUGGAGGGACACCAUUCCCAGGGAUGGAGGUUCAGAUUCAGCAUUCCCAGGGAUGUAGGGACACCAUUCCCAGGGGUGGAGGGACACCAUUCCCUGGGCAGUGCCUGCUCCUGCGGGGCUCCCUGGAGCUCAGCCCCACCGUGCACAGCUUUGUGAGCAUCUCCUGGUGCAGAGCGCCCCCGUCCCCCGCCCGCUGCCCCUGCCGGCGCUGGAGCCCGCAGCGAACGCCCUGGAGGUCAGCCCUGCACACAAUGCCAGAGCCAGGGCUCCUCCCGCAGCCUCCGCUCCAGGACACGAUCACCGACCGGUGCAUUACUCAUGGCAGACCUUACGACCCUCAAAUCUCCGGGUUUUGGUAUUUUUUUAAACCCUGCUGUAGAAAGUGAAGUAUAUUUUCACAAGUGUUCUCCGUUUAUACAGCUUUAAGUGCCAGGUAGUGGGUAGCCUGUUGUUCCCAGAGGUCCAGGACAGGGCCACGCUCCCUCUGCUCCUCUUUCCCUUUUGGAUGUUGCACACUGCAUUCUGUUGAAUUUUUUUUUUAAUUUUAUUUUUUAAAUAUAUCCAAUAUUUAAACCACCAGAGGUUCUUUUGAAACCGUCUGGCAGAAGAUGCUGUACAUAGAUUUUGCUACAUGUUGUAACUUUCUGAAAUAGUUAGAACACCAAUCCCUUUGGUAUUUUUACGUGAAUAUUUUCAAAGAGCCAGAACUUCUGGUGAUAUGAUUUGAUAAUGGGACGAUGUAUAUUCACAGUUCAGUCUCUACCCAAUGCCUAUGUGCUAUCCCUAAAAUAAAGCUACUGCCUUCUGCCUCCUGCCUGCAGAGACCUGUGUUUUCUGUCCAGAAUUGCUGCUGGUGAUGAAGUGAGGAAUUCUACAUCUGGCACUUCUGCACUUGUUAAUAUUGACCCCGACACCUGCAGGGCCCCACCUGGCUGGGCUGGGGCUGGCCUGGAGAGGAACCUUCCUGCACCACAGCAUCCAGGCUGAAAGGAUCAAAAUGAGCAGCAAGUUCUUAAAAUAGUAUGGAUUUUUAACUCCAGCCUUCAGAAGAAAACAUUUCAUGAACUGUAUGAACCAGUGAAUUGUUUCCCUCUG
rnacentral:lncRNA from 1 species